UUAUUACUCAGUGAUGAAAUUGCAAGAGAAGAACUGAAGAAACUCCCAGCUCUUCCUACCCGGGCAUUGCAGGAGCAUCCAUCACUUGCAUAUUGUGAAGAUCGAGUGAUUAACCAUUACAAAAAACUAAAAGGUCACAGCAGAGGACAAGCGAUUGUCAAGCAGACAAACUGAUGUGGAAACCCUUUGAAAAUAUACGAUGCGGAGAAUCACAGAGGCAAAAUCGUCCUGACACAAACUGCAAGCAGUCUGUGUGGAAUUAUGCCUGCCAGUAGAUGAUAAAAUGGUUCAAUAGCUCAAGAUUGUAGCCAACCUUAUAAUCAAACUAAGGCUGUGGCUGGCACUUUCGUUUCUUCCGUCUUAACUACAAAUCAGAUGAACUAAUUUUAAUACCUGUGCAUUUUAAAGAUUGAAUGAUCUUUAUCAAGGAAAAGCAAAGCCUUUUGUUCAACAGAUAUAGUAGGAACUGCCGAUGCUGGAAAAUCUGAGAUAACAAGGUGUAGAGCUGGAUGAACACAGCAGGCCAAGCAGCAUCAUAGGAGCAGGAAGGCUGACGUUUCGUUC